UACCACUGGGAGCUUCCUUGCU
rnacentral:siRNA from 1 species